AAAAAACUUUGUGAAUGUUGUGAAUUGUGUUGAUUUAGCUCAUUUUAAUGGGGUGGUCCACUAUGUUAUCAUAUUCUAAACUUUAGUUGAUUUGUAAUGUAGCUGUGUGAACAUAAACAGCAUCUCUGAUUGUGGAAUAAAUCUUUAUGAAAGGGGCUGUUUGUCAGAUAGAAGUAAAGUUGGUUUUAUAUUUGCACAUUCGCACUUACGCUCCCCUAAUAAAAUAUUAGAAAACUAUUGUUUGCAAAUUCCAAAUAGCGAAAUCACACUAGCAGACAACUAUUAUCAAACUACAACAGCGUUCAUGGUCAAAGAAAUCAUGCUAGUGUUGUUUGAAGUGUUACUUACAUGCGAUUUCAGACCGAAUAUUCAAUAUCGCGUGAAAAACAACAAAGGGACCGAGUCAAAAGUUCUCAGGUUGUUGAAAAACGAACAAAAGGAAUUCAGCCAACUACUAUAACGGUUUUGAAAUCAUGGCCUGUGCACAUCAACAUCUGUGGACCCUGCAGAACAUGCAUGCAACCUGUGCCCUGCUGUUUUCCUUACCUCUGUCUUACCCAUUGUCUUAACUAAAUAUUGUAACACUGUCAUUUCUGUUUUUUCUGUUUAUGACAUGUUGUUGUACAUUAAACUAUCAUUAUAUCAUAAA